UAAUAAAGAAUUCAUUUACUCUAAAGGUUAGUAAGAAAAAUUAUGAAGUCAGAAAAAUGAAUGAUUGGCCCUCAGUAUGUCAAAUAUCGUCCCACAUCGCAUGUCAAUAAGACAAACGGCUCCGUUGAAGAAAUUCAAAAAAGCAUCACUGGGCUUAUAACAUUCAUAAAAACAUACCAAAUUUUUCGUUCACAAACAAAAUAAAGACUUUUAAUAGGAACUAUAAUUGUCUUCACGAUCACCACAUAGAUCCAUGAUAUAUGCAAGUUUUUUGUUCUCUAGGAAACUAAUGCCGGAUUCGAGCAAAAGUAUUUGUGUCACGUUUCUAACGAUUUCCCAACGGGCACGCGCUAACUUCAAGUCAGCUAAUACACCUUCAAUUGAGCUUCUAUAAUCAGAUUCUUUAGACGCAUACAAUUCUAAAGAAGAAGAAAUAGAUUGCACUGAAGGAAGUAAUACAGAUUUAAUAUUUUCUUUUUCCUUCUCAAUUUCUUCACUAGUGAAGGUAAUACUGCUUUCGAUUUUUAAAUUUUCUUCCGACAAAUGUUCUGUCUCGUUCAAAGGGCUACUUAUAAAGCCCAAUGAAUUAGACUCAUCAUAUAGUCGCUGAUAUAGUUGUCCCACUAAACUAUUAGUAGUCAUGAAAUUGAGGAUUGAGAAGGCAGCAUUUCCUUGUACACUAUCACCACAAGUUUGCAUAAAAAGAGAAAAAAGAAUUUUCCAAUGUCUUAAAACGUUAUUUUCCCAUUUUUUCAGGACGUGCUCAUUCCGCUGUUCUUCAGAUGGUUCAUUCGAGAUAACCGAAAUAGGUUGAUCGGCAAGCAGUUGUAAAGCCCCUAGACAAAGGUUUGAUAUUUGGUCGUUAUUAUCCAUACGGUCAGUUCGUUAAGUAACAAGCAUUUUCAAAUAUUGAACUAAUCAGUAUUUUCCUAAAAAUCGAGGAAUACGGAGAUAAAAAGCUUUAGUACUAAUAAAAGACUAUUACAUGAAGAAACCAAAAUCAGAGAUUAUUUAAA